ensembl:lncRNA
CUGGCUCCCUGACCUUGUGAGGACUGGAAACCUUCCUGUCCAGUUCCAAACAGCACAAUGAUAGUAAGGACUGCACUUGUUUUGAAACAGACCAUCUGUCAUCUCAUCUCCUUUCCCAAAGUUACUGUAUCCUACAUCACAUGCUGAGUUUCAAUCGCUCAAGAUAUUCAGCUGAGAGAUACCAGCUUUUAUCAGUGCAUUUCAUUUUUCCUUUUCAUUACAACCAUGACAAAAUUGUUCUGUGUGUCUCAGAAGAAAUCCUAUCUAACAAAGAACAGAAUCUGUGUGUUGCUGUCAUUCAUGCAAGUUAGCUUAUCAUAGAAUGGCUUGGGUUGGAAGAGACCCCAAAGAUCACCACGUUCCAACCCCCUGCCACAGGCAGGGCUGCCAACCAUUAGAUCAAGCGCUAGACCAGGCUGCCCAGGGCUCCAUCCCACCUGGUCCCUGGGGCCACCAGGUCUUCUGCUCAUCUGCUCACAUUUUGGCUUCCCUGAAGCAGGAAUUCAAGGGAAGCUUGUGGAAUCAUCAUUCAUCAUUUUGUUUUGGGAUGAACAAUUGCUUCAUUGAGUUAAGUCCUAUUUGUACGCUGGAACCUGAAUAAAUUGGCAACCCCGACUGCACGAUGUGAGGAGAACAACACACUGGGAGAACAUCUGCUGUCCCAACAGUGACCUGGAAGGAAAUUUGACAGGAUUGAGACUGGGAGAGCUACAAGGGAAGGAGUGCUGAGGAACACCUCAUCUCCAAGAAGUUCUCUGGGUGGUUCAAGGCUGAAUUCGCCCAUCUGCGCAUGCUCCUCUCCCAAAGCCAUCCUGUCAGUGGGCUUUACAGAGGCAGCAGCUCACUGUGGUGCCGGACAGGCAAGUGGAGGUCUCAGAGGACGGAAAAGAGCAUAGUAAGGGCUAUAUUGGAUCCUUCUGGUGUCACUGUCACUGUCUAACGUAGGCUGUGAGAGGUGGCUGCUUAAAUACAGCACAAGGCUACAGCAUAGAAUAAAAAGAGGGGGUGAAAAUAAAAGAUAAACAUCCCACGUGCUGGGAAACAGAGAUUACUGAUCAGUGCCUAUACGCCACCAGACAGACAUUAAGCAAAAGGAUGGGCUAUGUUUGAAGAGGAAAAGCUGCACAGUCCAUUCACGUUUCAUGUUGGCACAUUUCUUUGCCACGUUACUGUCUUAAGAAGAGAGGAUACACCCCAGGCCUGCUCCAGAGAAGAGAUAACAAAAUCGGCUCAGGUCUCCGCUUCCCCUGGGUCCGCAGGGACUUGUAAGAAGCAGAUUACUUCCCCUAAGCAUGCACAGAGAUGUAUUUACGUGCCAUGCUGUAGCUGCUGCAGAGGAUUAAUUGGGAUGAUCAGCAAAAGAGUGACUGGAAAGUCAAGCUUAAAGAAAGCACUUUUUGAAGCCCCUUCUGCUUUCACAGCUAUUGGCUUCCUAUUUGGGUUUUAUUCAUAAGAUCACUGUGACUCUGCUUCCCUGUGAUAGAUAUGAACCUCACAGUUCUCUGAUGUAUUCUUGGCUUUUACGACUAUUGCUUUUGGACAAAGGUUGGGCUGAAAGCUCAGUCAUUUACCAGAACAAUUCACGGGACUUCUCUAUGC